UACGUAGGGUGCGAGCGUUAAUCGGAAUUACUGGGCGUAAAGUGUGCGCAGGCGGCCAUGCAAGUCGAGUGUGAAAGCCCCGAGCUUAACUUGGGAAUUGCGCUCGAAACUACGUGGCUGGAGUGUGGCAGAGGAAGGUGGAAUUCCACGUGUAGCGGUGAAAUGUGUAGAGAUGUGGAGGAACACCAAUGGCGAAGGCAGCCUUCUGGGCCAACACUGACGCUCAUGCACGAAAGCGUGGGGAGCAAACAGG
rnacentral:rRNA from 1 species